rnacentral:rRNA from 1 species
ACGGGGGGUGCAAGCGUUGUCCGGAAUUAUUGGGCGUAAAGGGCGUGUAGGCGGCCUGGUCAGUCGAAUGUGAAAUCCCACGGCUCAACCGUGGAACUGCGUUCGAUACUGCCUGGCUUGAGUAUGUGAGAGGUGUGCGGAAUUCCUGGUGUAGCGGUGGAAUGCGUAGAUAUCAGGAAGAACACCGAUGGCGAAGGCAGCACACUGGCGCAAUACUGACGCUGAGGCGCGAAAGCGUGGGGAGCAAACAG